UACGUAGGGGGCGAGCGUUGUCCGGAAUUAUUGGGCGUAAAGAGCGUGUAGGCGGCCAGACAGGUCUGCUGUGAAAACUCGAGGCUCAACCUCGAGACGCCGGUGGAAACCGUCUGGCUAGAGUCCGGAAGAGGAGAGUGGAAUUCCUGGUGUAGCGGUGAAAUGCGCAGAUAUCAGGAAGAACACCCGUGGCUAAGGCGGCUCUCUAGUACGGUACUGACGCUGAGACGCGAAAGCGUGGGGAGCGAACAGG
rnacentral:rRNA from 1 species